rnacentral:tRNA from 1 species
GCCUUCGUGGUGUAACGGUAGCACAUUCGCCUCAUAUUCGAGAGGUCCAGGUUCGAGUCCCGGCGAGGGCG